rnacentral:rRNA from 1 species
UACGUAGGGGGCAAGCGUUGUCCGGAAUCAUUGGGCGUAAAGAGCGCGUAGGCGGUCCGGUAAGUCGGUUGUGAAAACUGGGGGCUCAACCCUCAGAGGCCGACCGAUACUGCCGGGCUAGAGUCCGGAAGAGGCGAGUGGAAUUCCUGGUGUAGCGGUGAAAUGCGCAGAUAUCAGGAGGAACACCGAUGGCGAAGGCAAUCCCCUGGGCCUGCACUGACGCUCAUGCACGAAAGCGUGGGGAGCAAACAGG